CUGCAGUGAAUGGUAUUCAACGGCCGCGGUAUCCUAACCGUGCAAAGGUAGCAUAAUAACUUGCCUAUUAAUUGUAGGCUAGAAUGAACGGGAAAACGAAAUAAAAACUGUCUCAAUUAGUUAACUAAAAAUUAUCCUCUAUAUAAAGAAAAAUAGAUAAAUUCGAAGGACAAGAAGACCCUAUAGAGCUUUAUUUUGUACGUAAAAUUAUACUGCACAAAAUUCGGUUGGGGCGACCGGGGGAAUUAAAAACACCCCUAAAUGAAAAGAUAUUUAUAUCCAUUUAUUGACCCUUCAAAGAUCAAAAGACCAAGCUACCUUAGGGAUAACAGACUAAUCCCAUUUAAGAGUUCAUAUCAACAAUGGGGUUUGGCACCUCGAUGUUGGCUUAGGGUAUCUACAUAGCGCAAAAGUUAUAUAAAGAUGGUUUGUUCAACCAAUAAUCC
rnacentral:rRNA from 1 species